UUAGAGUUUGAUCCUGGCUCAGGAUGAACGCUAGCGGGAGGCUUAACACAUGCAAGUCGAGGGGUAAGGUUCUCUUCGGAGGACACACGACCGGCGAACGGGUGAGUAACGCGUAUGUAWCCUACCUAUAACACAAGGAUAGCUUCCGGAAACGGAAAUUAAUACUUGAUAAUAUUUAGUUCUGGCCUCAGGAUUAAAUCAAAGCUCAGGUGGUUAUAGAUGGACAUGCGUGACAUUAGGUAGUUGGUAGGGUAAAGGCCUACCAAGCCGACGAUGUCUAGGGGGUCUGAGAGGAUGAUCCCCCACACUGGUACUGAGACACGGACCAGACUCCUACGGGAGGCAGCAGUGAGGAAUAUUGCGCAAUGGACGAAAGUCUGACGCAGCCAUCCCGCGUGCAGGAAUGACGGCCCUAUGGGUUGUAAACUGCUUUUCUGAAGGAAGAAAAUUAGUUACUAGUAAUUAAUUGCCGGUACUUCAGGAAUAAGCAUCGGCUAACUCCGUGCCAGCAGCCGCGGUAAUACGGAGGAUGCAAGCGUUAUCCGGAAUCACUGGGUUUAAAGGGUGCGCAGGCUGAAGAAUAAGUCAGAGGUGAAAUCCUCCCGCUUAACGGGAGAAGGUCCUUUGAUACUGUUUUUCUUGAGUAUAGUUGA
rnacentral:rRNA from 1 species